rnacentral:rRNA from 1 species
GCAAGUCGUACGGGAGUUUUUAACUCAAGUGGCGGACGGGUGAGUAACACGUAAGAAUUUGCCUUUAGGAGGGGGAUAACAACUGGAAACGGUUGCUAAUACCCCAUAUGCUUUCGAGUGAAAUGGAUUUUUCCGCCUAGAGAGAAGCUUGCGGCUGAUUAGCUUGUUGGUAAGGUAAUGGCUUACCAAGGCGACGAUCAGUAUCUGGUUUGAGAGGACGAUCAGACACACUGGAACUGAGACACGGUCCAGACUCCUACGGGAGGCAGCAGUGGGGAAUUUUCCGCAAUGGGCGAAAGCCUGACGGAGCAAUACCGCGUGAGGGAUGACGGCCUAUGGGUUGUAAACCUCUUUUUUCAGGGAGGAAAAAAAUGACGUUACCUGAAGAA